rnacentral:rRNA from 1 species
UACGUAGGGUGCAAGCGUUGUCCGGAAUUAUUGGGCGUAAAGAGCUCGUAGGCGGUUUGUCGCGUCUGCUGUGAAAACCCGCGGCUCAACCGUGUGGUCUGCAGUCGAUACGGGCAGGCUAGAGUUCGGUAGGGGAGACUGGAAUUCCUGGUGUAGCGGUGAAAUGCGCAGAUAUCAGGAGGAACACCGGUGGCGAAGGCGGGUCUCUGGGCCGAUACUGACGCUGAGGAGCGAAAGCGUGGGGAGCGAACAGG